rnacentral:rRNA from 1 species
GACGAACCGUGCGAACGUUGUUCGGAAUCACUGGGCUUAAAGGGCGCGUAGGCGGCUCGCGAGGUCGGGGGUGAAAUCCCGCAGCUUAACUGCGGAAGAGCCUUCGAUACCGGCGGGCUAGAGGAAGGUAGGGGUGCGCGGAACUUCUGGUGGAGCGGUGAAAUGCGUUGAUAUCAGAAGGAACGCCGGCGGCGAAAGCGGCGCACUGGACCUUUCUGACGCUGAGGCGCGAAAGCCCAGGGGAGCAAACGGG